rnacentral:piRNA from 1 species
UGCCAGAAACUGUUCCUUGUC